rnacentral:misc_RNA from 1 species
UCUCCGUAGGUGAACCUGCGGAAGGAUCAUUAUUGUAUAACCGAGGUGCGAGGGCUGUCGCUGACCCGAAAGGUCGUGCACGCCCGAGUGCCCUCACACACAUCCAUCUCACCCCUAUGUGCACCACCGCGUGGGUCCCCCUUUGGCUUGUUCGGAGGGGGGCUUACGCUUUCACACAAACUUUGUAUGCAGUGUAGAAUGUAUUUUUUGUUUUUGCGAUCACGCAAUCAAUACAACUUUCAACAACGGAUCUCUUGGCUCUCGCAUCGAUGAAGAACGCAC